rnacentral:rRNA from 1 species
UACGGGGGGGGCAAGCGUUGUUCGGAAUUACUGGGCGUAAAGGGCGCGUAGGCGGUUUGCUAAGUUGAAUGUGAAAACUCUGGGCUUAACCCAGAGCCUGCAUUCAAUACUGGCAGGCUAGAGUUCUGGAGGGGAUAGCGGAAUUCCUGGUGUAGCGGUGAAAUGCGUAGAUAUCAGGAGGAACACCGGUGGCGAAGGCGGCUAUCGUGGAACAGGAGUCUGGACGCUGAGGCGCGAAAGCUAGGGGAG